GGAAGGAUCAUUAUCGAAUUGUCAAACACGGGUUGUUGCUGGCCCCCAAACGGGGCAUGUGCACGCUCUGUUUACACAUCCACUCACACCUGUGCACCCUCUGUAGUUCUGUGGACCGGGAGACGUUGUCUUCCUUCCGUAGCUCUACGUCUUUACACACACACCGUAGCGAUGUCUCAUGGAAUGUUUUUUCGCGUUUAACGCAAUACAAUACAACUUUCAGCAACGGAUCUCUUGGCUCUCGCAUCGAUGAAGAACGCAGCGAAAUGCGAUAAGUAAUGUGAAUUGCAGAAUUCAGUGAAUCAUCGAAUCUUUGAACGCACCUUGCGCCCCUUGGUUAUUCCUCGGAGCAUGCCUGUUUGAGUAUCAUGAACACCUCAACUCUCAUGGUCUUCCAUGAUGAGCUUGGACUUUGGGGGUUUGCUGGCCUUGUGGCCGGCUCCUCUCAAAUGAAUCAGCUUGCCAGUGUUUGGCGGCGUCACGGGUGUGAUAACUAUCUACGCUCGCGGUUGUCCGUCAGGUAACCCUCAGCGAUGAAGGUUCAUUGGGGCUCAUAAACGUCUCUCCCCAGCGAGGACAACUUUUGAACGUUCGAUCUCAAAUCAGG
rnacentral:sRNA from 1 species